UACAGAGGGGGCAAGCGUUGUUCGGAAUUACUGGGCGUAAAGGGCGCGUAGGCGGCCCGCUAAGUCGAACGUGAAAUCCCCGGGCUCAACCCGGGAACUGCGUCCGAUACUGGCAGGCUUGAAUCCGGGAGAGGGAUGCGGAAUUCCAGGUGUAGCGGUGAAAUGCGUAGAUAUCUGGAGGAACACCGGUGGCGAAGGCGGGUUGCUGGGCCGACACUGACGCUGAUGCGCGAAAGCUAGGGGAGCAAACGGG
rnacentral:rRNA from 1 species